rnacentral:rRNA from 1 species
AUUGACCGCUGGCGGCAGGCCUAACAAAUGCCAGUCGAGCGAGCGGCGGACGGGUAAGUAAUGCCUAGGUAUUGCCCAGUCGGGGGGGAUAACAGUUGGAAACGCCUACUAAUACCGCAUACGAUUGGAUUGCCCAGGUGUGAUUAGCUAGUUGGUGAGGUAAUGGCUCACCCAGGAGACGAUCCCUAGCUGGUCUGAGAGGAUGAGCAGCCACACUGGAACUGAGACACGGUCCAGACUCCUACGUGAGGCAGCAGGGGGGAAUAUUGCACAAUGGGGGAAACCCUGAUGCAGACAUGCCGCGUGUGUGAAGAAGGCCUUCGGGUUGUAAAGUACGUUCAGCGAGGAGGCGUUACUCGCAGAAGAAGCACCGGCUAACUCCGUGCCAGCAGCCGCGGUAAUAC